rnacentral:rRNA from 1 species
GGGGAAUUUUCCGCAAUGGGCGAAAGCCUGACGGAGCAAUACCGCGUGAGGGAAGAAGGCUUUUGGGUUGUAAACCUCUUUUCUCAGGGAAGAAAAAAAUGACGGUACCUGAGGAAUCAGCAUCGGCUAACUCCGUGCCAGCAGCCGCGGUAAUACGGAGGAUGCAAGCGUUAUCCGGAAUUAUUGGGCGUAAAGCGUCCGCAGGUGGCAAUCCAAGUCUGUUAUCAAAGACCGCAGCUUAACUGCGGGAAGGUGAUGGAAACUGGAUAGCUAGAGUACGGUAGGGGUAGGGGGAAUUUCCAGUGUAGCGGUGAAAUGCGUAGAGAUUGGAAAGAACACCAGUGGCGAAGGCGCCCUACUGGGCCUGUACUGACACUAAGGGACGAAAGCUAGGGUAGCGAAAGGGAUUAGAUACCCCUGUAGUCA